GAUGAACGCUGGCGGCGUGCCUAAUACAUGCAAGUCGAGCGAACAGACGAUGCUCUUGCUCCUCUGACGUUUGCGGCGGACGUGUGUGUAACACGUGUAUAACCUACCUAUCAUACUGGUAUCACUUCGGGAAUCCGGAUCUUAUCCCGUAUAAUAUCUUGAUCCGCAUUGUUCAAUAGUAAGAUUCGGUUUUUCUGUCUCUUAUAGCUGCUUCCGCGCCGCAUUAGCUAGUUGGUAAGGUCACGGCUUACCAAGGCAACGAUGCGUAGCCGACCGGAGAGGGUGAUCGGCCACACUGGAAGUGAGACACGGUCCAGACGCAUACGGGAGGCAGCAGGAGGGAAACUUGAGGAAGGAGCGAAAGACUGACGGAGAAACGCCGAGGGAGGGAUGAAGGUCGUCGGAUCGGAAAACACUGUUAUUAGGGAAGAAAAAAUGUGUAAGUAAGUAGGAACGUCUUGAAGGUAAAUAAGCAGAAAGCCACGGCUAAAUAAGUG
rnacentral:rRNA from 1 species